rnacentral:tRNA from 1 species
GUCCUGAUAGUAUAAACAUUACAUUGGUCUUGUAAGCCAAAAAUGAGAAAUAAAUUUCUCUCAGGUCA